rnacentral:rRNA from 1 species
AGAGUUUGAUCCUGGCUCAGAUUGAACGCUGGCGGCAUGCUUUACACAUGCAAGUCGAACGGCAGCAUGGGUGCUUGCACCUGAUGGCGAGUGGCGGACGGGUGAGUAAUGCAUCGGGACGUGUCUGUAAGAGGGGGAUAACUGUUCGAAAGAACAGCUAAUACCGCAUAAUAUCCGAGGAAGAAAGCUGGGGACCUUAGGGCCUGGCGCUUACAGGGCGACCGAUGUCUGAUUAGCUAGUUGGUAGGGUAAAAGCCUACCAAGGCGACGAUCAGUAGCUGGUCUGAGAGGACGACCAGCCACACUGGGACUGAGAAACGGCCCAGACUCCUACGGGAGGCAGCAGUGGGGAAUUUUGGACAAUGGGGGCAACCCUGAUCCAGCAAUGCCGCGUGUCUGAAGAAGGCCUUCGGGUUGUAAAGGACUUUUGUUGGGGAGCAAGGUGCACAGGUUAAGAGCUAGUGUACUUGAGAGUACCCAAAGAAUAAGGACCGGCUAACUACGUGCCAGCAGCCGCGGUAAUACGUAGGGUCCAAGCGUUAAUCGGAAUUACUGGGCGUAAAGAGUGCGCAGGCGGCUUUGUAAGCUUGAUGUGAAAUCCCCGGGCUCAACCUGGGAACUGCAUUGAGGACUGCAAGGCUAGAGUGUAGCAGAGGGGGGUAGAAUUCCACGUGUAGCAGUGAAAUGCGUAGAGAUGUGGAGGAAUACCGAUGGCGAAGGCAGCCCCCUGGGUUAACACUGACGCUCAUGCACGAAAGCGUGGGGAGCAAACAGGAUUAGAUACCCUGGUAGUCC